rnacentral:lncRNA from 1 species
CAGGGAUGAUUCUUCAUGAAUGCUUAAAAUUCCUCUAGGAUUGUCUCUCAAGUUUGUUUUAUCUAUCCAUUCAAUGGUGAUAGCACAUGGAUUUUUAAUGCCCUCUAGCCAUUGAUGUUGCUCUUCUCGAUCCUCCUUCUUAUGCAUGGGAUGUCUAGAGAGAUUCAUAGGAUUAUCAGGAGGUUCAAGAGAAAGAGCAUAGUAGAGAUUAUUAGGCUCAAGGAUGG